rnacentral:rRNA from 1 species
CGGGUGAGUAACGCGUGAGUAACCUGCCUUACACAAGGGGAUAGCCGUUGGAAACGACGAAUAAUACCCUAUGAAACUAUCACUUCGCAUGAAGCGAUAGUCAAAGUGUUAGCGGUGUAAGAUGGACUUGCGUCUGAUUAGCUAGUUGGUGAGAAAAAGCCCACCAAGGCAACGAUCAGUAGCCGGCUUGAGAGAGUGUACGGCCACAUUGGGACUGAGACACGGCCCAG